UUGAACGCUGGCGGCAUGCCUUACACAUGCAAGUCGAACGGCAGCACGGGAGCAAUCCUGGUGGCGAGUGGCGAACGGGUGAGUAAUAUAUCGGAACGUGCCCAGUCGUGGGGGAUAACGCAGCGAAAGCUGUGCUAAUACCGCAUACGACCUGAGGGUGAAAGCGGGGGAUCGCAAGACCUCGCGCGACAGGAGCGGCCGAUAUCGGAUUAGCUAGUUGGUGAGGUAAAGGCUCACCAAGGCGACGAUCCGUAGCUGGUCUGAGAGGACGACCAGCCACACUGGAACUGAGACACGGUCCAGACUCCUACGGGAGGCAGCAGUGGGGAAUUUUGGACAAUGGGGGCAACCCUGAUCCAGCCAUUCCGCGUGAGUGAAGAAGGCCUUCGGGUUGUAAAACUCUUUCGGCAGGAACGAAACGGUGAGCUCUAACAUAGCUUGCUAAUGACGGUACCUGAAGAAGAAGCACCGGCUAACUACGU
rnacentral:rRNA from 1 species